rnacentral:rRNA from 1 species
UGGUAUUUUAACUAUACAAAGGUAUUGUAAUAAGAUUUUAAUUGAAUGCUAAAAGAAUGGAAGUUUAAGAAAAAACUUUUUUAAAAAUAAAAAUUAAAUUUUUUUUAAUUUGUGCAAAACCAAUUAUUUAUAUUAAAGACAAGAAGACCCUAUGAAUUUAUGAUUAAAUAAACUAAAAAUUUUUAGUUUAUUUAAUCUUGAUUGGGGCAAUCAAAAAAUAUUAAUAACUUUUUUAKAUUUAAAUGAUCUAUUAUUAAUAAUCUAAUGGAAUAAAUACUCUAGGGAUAACAGCGUAAUAAUUUUUGAUAGAUCUUAUAGACAAAAUAGUUUGCGACCUCGAUGUUGGAUUAGGAUUCU